GAUGAACGCUGGCGGCGUGCAUAACACAUGCAAGUCGAACGAUCAAACGUAACGGUUGUCUUCCGGAUGAUUGUAAGGGGCGGGGGGGCAGACGGGUGAUUAACGCCUUAUUAAACUGGGUUAAAUUAGGGGAAAGGGUGCGGAAACGAAGAAUAAUACUGUAUGAUAUGGUAAUAUCUCAUGAUACGAUCAUCAAAGAACUAUCUGACGAAGAUGGACCUGCGUCGGAUUAUCUAGUUGGUAAGGUUUCAGCUGACCACGGCAACGAUGCGUAACCGGCCUGAGAGGGUGAUCGGCCACACUGGCACUGGGGCACGGUCCAGACUCCUACGGGAGGCAGCAGUAGGGAAUCUUCCGCAAUGGGCGAAGUCCUGACGGAGCAACGCCGCGUGAGUGAUGAAGGUCUUCGGAUCGUAAAACUCUGUUAUUAGGGAAGAACAAAUGUGUAAGUAACUAUGCACGUCUUGACGGUACCUAAUCAGAAAGCCACGGCUAACUACGUG
rnacentral:rRNA from 1 species